CAAGGAAUAUUGCGCAAUGGGCGAAAGCCUGACGCAGCGACACCGCGUGGGGGAUGAAGGCCUUCGGGUCGUAAACCCCUUUUCUCAGGGAGGAAUAAUGACAGUACCUGAGGAAUAAGCAACAGCUAACUACGUGCCAGCAGCUGCGGUAAUACGUAGAUUGCGAGCGUUAUCCGGAUUUACUGGGCGUAAAGAGGGCGUAGGCGGCUUAUCAAGUCGAGUGUAAAAUCUCCCGGCUUAACUGGGAGGGACCAUACGAUACUGAUAGGCUAGAGGACAAUGGAGGGAGGUAGAAUUCCCGGUGUAGUGGUGAAAUGCGUAGAUAUCGGGAGGAAUACCAGUGGCGAAGGCGGCCUCCCAUAUUGUUUCUGACGCUGUUGCCCGAAAGUGUGGGGAGCAAACAGG
rnacentral:rRNA from 1 species